rnacentral:rRNA from 1 species
AUUGAACGCUGGCGGCAUGCUUUACACAUGCAAGUCGAACGGUAACAGGCCGCAAGGUGCUGACGAGUGGCGAACGGGUGAGCAAUGCAUCGGAACGUGCCCAGUCGUGGGGGAUAACGCAGCGAAAGCUGUGCUAAUACCGCAUACGAUCUAUGGAUGAAAGCGGGGGACCGUAAGGCCUCGCGCGAUUGGAGGGGCCGAUGUCAGAUUAGGUAGUCGGUGGGGUAAAGGCCUACCAAGCCGACGAUCUGUAGCUGGUCUGAGAGGACGACCAGCCACACUGGGACUGAGACACGGCCCAGACUCCUACGGGAGGCAGCAGUGGGGAAUUUUGGACAAUGGGCGCAAGCCUGAUCCAGCAAUGCCGCGUGCAGGAAGAAGGCCUUCGGGUUGUAAACUGCUUUUGUACGGAACGAAACGGCCUGGGUUAAUACCCUGGGCUAAUGACGGUACCGUAAGAAUAAGCACCGGCUAACUACGUGCCAGCCGCCGCAGUAAGAC